GAUGAACGCUGGCGGCGUGCCUAAUACAUGCAAGUCGAGCGAACGGACGAGAAGCUUGCUUCUCUGAUGUUAGCGGCGGACGGGUGAGUAACACGUGGAUAACCUACCUAUAAGACUGGGAUAACUUCGGGAAACCGUAGCUAAUACCGGAUAAUAUUUUGAACCGCAUGGUUCAAAAGUGAAAGACGGUCUUGCUGUCACUUAUAGAUGGAUCCGCGCUGCAUUAGCUAGUUGGUAAGGUAACGGCUUACCAAGGCAACGAUGCAUAGCCGACCUGAGAGGGUGAUCGGCCAGACUGGAACUGAGACACGGUCCAGACUACUACGGGAGGCAGCAGUAGGGAAUCUUCCGCAAUGGGCGAAAGCCUGACGGAGCAACGCCGCGUGAGUGAUGAAGGUCUUCGGAUCGUAAAACUCUGUUAUUAGGGAAGAACAUAUGUGUAAGUAACUGUGCACAUCUUGACGGUACCUAAUCAGAAAGCCACGGCUAACUACGUG
rnacentral:rRNA from 1 species